UGUAGUGUCAACGAUGAUGCAUACAUGUCAACUAUGGGUGUUGGCUCCAACAAUUCGCAUUGGUCUCAAACCAAUGACAUGCAUUUCGAAGACCAUGAGUUCGAGGUGGACGAGGAUGGUGAGGGCAUUGUCGACGCGCCGAAAGGAAGAGCGGGCAAUUACACCAACGCCGAAGACAUCUUACUAUGCAAUACUUGGUUGCAAGUGUCGAGGGAUCCAUCCGUUGAAGGUGAUCAAAGUAGAGAUGCUUAUUGGGGGCGGAUGAAAGAACACUUUGAUGUUCGCAACGUGAGUGGAAUUGACCGCUCCGAGACAUCACCUCGGUCCCGGUGGUCGACAAUCAACAAGGAUUGUCAAAAGUGGGCGGCCGCACAAAAGGCAGUUGACAAGUUGAACCCAAAUGGCACCAAUGAGGACGAUAGAGUUAGUGGCAUUUCAUCCAUGUUCAUGAUACUUGUUGUUGGUGUUUGA
rnacentral:rRNA from 1 species